rnacentral:rRNA from 1 species
GGGAGCUUGCUCCCUGAGAUUAGCGGCGGACGGGUGAGUAACACGUGGGCAACCUGCCUAUAAGACUGGGAUAACUUCGGGAAACCGGAGCUAAUACCGGAUACGUUCUUUUCUCGCAUGAGAGAAGAUGGAAAGACGGUUUUGCUGUCACUUAUAGAUGGGCCCGCGGCGCAUUAGCUAGUUGGUGAGGUAAUGGCUCACCAAGGCGACGAUGCGUAGCCGACCUGAGAGGGUGAUCGGCCACACUGGGACUGAGACACGGCCCAGACUCCUACGGGAGGCAGCAGUAGGGAAUCUUCCGCAAUGGACGAAAGUCUGACGGAGCAACGCCCCGUGAACGAAAAAGGCCUUCGGGUCGUAAAGUUCUGUUGUUAGGGAAGAACAAGUACCAGAGUAACUGCUGGUACCUUGACGGUACCUAACCAGAAAGCCACGGCUAACUACGUGCCAGCAGCCGCGGUAAUACGUAGGUGGCAAGCGUUGUCCGGAAUUAUUGGGCGUAAAGCGCGCGCAGGUGGUUCUUUAAGUCUGAUGUGAAAGCCCACGGCUCAACCGUGGAGGGUCAUUGGAAACUGGGGAACUUGAGUGCAGAAGAGGAAAGUGGAAUUUCCAAGUGUAGCGGUGAAAUGCGUAGAGAUUUGGAGGAACACCCAGUGGCGAAAGCGACUUUCUGGGUCUGUAACUGACACUGAGGCGCGAAAGCGUG